rnacentral:rRNA from 1 species
UGGGGAAUUUUGGACAAUGGGCGAAAGCCUGAUCCAGCAAUGCCGCGUGUGUGAAGAAGGCCUUCGGGUUGUAAAGCACUUUUGUCCGGAAAGAAAUCCUUGGCUCUAAUACAGUCGGGGGAUGACGGUACCGGAAGAAUAAGCACCGGCUAACUACGUGCCAGCAGCCGCGGUAAUACGUAGGGUGCAAGCGUUAAUCGGAAUUACUGGGCGUAAAGCGUGCGCAGGCGGUUUGCUAAGACCGAUGUGAAAUCCCCGGGCUCAACCUGGGAACUGCAUUGGUGACUGGCAGGCUAGAGUAUGGCAGAGGGGGGUAGAAUUCCACGUGUAGCAGUGAAAUGCGUAGAGAUGUGGAGGAAUACCGAUGGCGAAGGCAGCCCCUGGCCAAGUACUGACGCUCAUGCACGAAAGCGUGGGGAGCAAACAGGAUUAGAUACCCUGGUAGUCCACGCCCUAAACGAUGUCAACUAGUUGUUGGGGAUUCAUUUCCUUAGUAACGUAGCUAACGCGUGAAGUUGACCGCCUGGGGAGUACGGUCGCAAGAUUAAAACUUAAAGGAAUUGACGGGGUCAUAGCUGUUUCCU